ACAGGCGGACGCAAUCCGCCUCCUUCCGCAUUUCCCAUAACGACCACGUGGGCCACGGUCGCCUCUUCAAUCUCGCGCGAACUUUCUGGUUUGUAGUUCGUACCACAUCUUCCCUCCAUUUUCCUUACAUCUGCAAAAACCCUAACAAAAAAUGUCGAAGAAUCGAAAUCUCCUUAUUUACACUCUUAGAUCUCUCCACAGAACUAAAUCACCUACAAACCAGCUUUUCUUUUUCGAUUACCAUCCAAAACCCCAGAUUUCUAGGUUUUUAUCACUCCCUUCCCAUCCUUCCACUGAACCUAGGGGUUUGGAUCUCCUCUCGUCGGAUUCUAGAUUUUCCAGCAGGAAUUUCUGCUCGAAAUCGGGCAAGGAAGGUGUCGACAAAUGCUGGAAUUGCGGCACGGCACCGCCUGCUGCGCUGGCGCCGUUCCUCUCCUGCGGGUCGUGUGGAAGCGUUCAACCGGUUGAUCGAUCCGUGGACUAUUUCCAGAUAUUUGGGCUGGAAAAGAGAUAUGAUGUACCAGGUGAGAACCUUGAUAGCAAAUACAAAAAUUGGCAGAAGAAACUACACCCUGAUUUAGUUCAUUCGAAGUCUGAGGAAGAAAGGACAUAUGCUGCCGAACAGUCUGCUCGGGUGAUUGAUGCUUACCGCACACUCAGCAAACCAUUAUCAAGGGCGUUGUAUCUGUUGAAACUUGAAGGAGUACAUGUGGAUGAAGAAAAAACGGUUUCAGAUCCUGAAUUACUUACUGAGAUUAUGGAGAUCAGAGAAGCUGUGGAUGAUGCUGAUGACUCUGAGGCACUAAAACAGAUCCAGUCUCAGAUACAAUCAAAACUGGUAAUCUGGUCUGAUUCCUUUGGGACCGCCUUCAAGAACCGGGAAUUUGAUCAUGCUGUGACAUCAACCCAGAGAAUGACAUAUUACGAGCGCGCACUUGAAGAGAUUGUGAAAAAGCUCUAAUGUAGGGAGCUAACCUAUUUUGAGAUUCCCAGCAGUGUUGAGCCCACCUGUGCAGAACCUGUCCGGCAGUGGCCUUUGACAUCAGUGGCAGAUGGCUCCAAGAUUCAGUUUCAUGGAGCAGAGAGUGUGGAUGCCCGACUUCUUUUCUUAGCUGACAUGAAAUGAAACCAAGGACAAUCAAUGGCUGAUGGCUAGGAAGAUGUAAAUGGAACGUCAAACCCUACAGGAAUGUCUACUGAAGCUUUUUGGGUGAAUGCUGGUCUGUUAAUGUUGUUGCAACUCAUAAUGUGGAACUGUGACAACUGCUAGUUUUAUGACUAUUCUUAAUAAAGAACAUAAUACAAGUGGCAUUUGAUAA